UUGUUUGGCUUGCAAAUCAGAAUUUGAAAACAAGAUAGGAAGAAGAACUCAUGAAGCAAGUUACAUUUUCGCAACUAUUGAUACAGCUCCACUAAAUCAGCUUCUGUUUUGAAGGAGAAAAACGAGUUUGAAGUUGGGACAUGCAUGCUGAUUGUGUGUUAAAGAGUGGAUACGGGUUUGAUGAAGAUGGAGUGAAACUUUGACUAUGGUGAGGGUUCAAUGGCUGCAUGAUCAUCCUCUCAACCUCCUUUUUAGCAAGGUGUGGUUUAGUAGCUUUUGGUCAGAAGCAGGUUCGGACUGAAGACUUGGAAGUGGUGUUGGCUCGGAGACCUCGUCAGAUCUCUUUUCCGCUGUGCAGAUCCAUUGAAGAC